rnacentral:rRNA from 1 species
CCUACGGGUGGCAGCAGUCGAGAAUCAUUCACAAUGGGGGAAACCCUGAUGGUGCGACGCCGCGUGGGGGAAUGAAGGUCUUCGGAUUGUAAACCCCUGUCAUGUGGGAGCAAAUUAAAAAGAUAGUACCACAAGAGGAAGAGACGGCUAACUCUGUGCCAGCAGCCGCGGUAAUACAGAGGUCUCAAGCGUUGUUCGGAAUCACUGGGCGUAAGGCGUGCGUAGGCUGUUUCGUAAGUCGUGUGUGAAAGGCGCGGGCUCAACCCGCGGACGGCACAUGAUACUGGGAGACUAGAGUAAUGGAGGGGGAACCGGAAUUCUCGGUGUAGCAGUGAAAUGCGUAGAUAUCGAGAGGAACACUCGUGGCGAAGGCGGGUUCCUGGACAUUAACUGACGCUGAGGCACGAAGGCCAGGGGAGCGAAAGGGAUUAGAUACCCCGGUAGUC